GACGAACGCUGGCGGCGUGCUUAACACAUGCCGGUCGAACGGAAAGGCCCUGCUUGCAGGGUACUCGAGUGGCGAACGGGUGAGUAACACGUGGGUGAUCUGCCCUGCACUUCGGGAUAAGCCUGGGAAACUGGGUCUAAUACCGGAUAGGAGCCAUUUUUAGUGUGAUGGUUGGAAAGUUUUUUCGGUGUAGGAUGAGCUCGCGGCCUAUCAGCUUGUUGGUGGGGUAAUGGCCUACCAAGGCGGCGACGGGUAGCCGGCCUGAGAGGGUGGACGGCCACAUUGGGACUGAGAUACGGCCCAGACUCCUACGGGAGGCAGCAGUGGGGAAUAUUGCACAAUGGGCGCAAGCCUGAUGCAGCGACGCCGCGUGGGGGAUGACGGCCUUCGGGUUGUAAACUCCUUUCGCUAGGGACGAAGCUUUUUGUGACGGUACCUAGAUAAGAAGCACCGGCUAACUACGUG
rnacentral:rRNA from 1 species